UACGUAGGCAGCGAGCGUUGUUCGGAGUUACUGGGCGUAAAGGGUGUGUAGGCGGUUGUUUAAGUUUGGUGUGAAAUCUCCCGGCUCAACUGGGAGGGUGCGCCGAAUACUGAGCGACUAGAGUGCGGGAGAGGAAAGUGGAAUUCCUGGUGUAGCGGUGAAAUGCGCAGAUAUCAGGAAGAACACCCGUGGCGAAGGCGGCUCACUGGACCGGUACUGACGCUGAUGCGCGAAAGCGUGGGUAGCAAACAGG
rnacentral:rRNA from 1 species